rnacentral:rRNA from 1 species
CCUACGGGAGGCAGCAGUGAGGAAUAUUGGUCAAUGGACGGAAGUCUGAACCAGCCAUGCCGCGUGCAGGAAGACGGCUCUAUGAGUUGUAAACUGCUUUUGUACAAGGGUAAACCUGAAUACGUGUAUUCAGCUGAAAGUACUGUACGAAUAAGGAUCGGCUAACUCCGUGCCAGCAGCCGCGGUAAUACGGAGGAUCCAAGCGUUAUCCGGAUUUACUGGGUGUAAAGGGCGUGCAGCCGGGAAGACAAGUCAGAUGUGAAAUCCCGCGGCUCAACCGCGGAACUGCAUUUGAAACUGUUUUUCUUGAGUACCGGAGAGGUCAUCGGAAUUCCUUGUGUAGCGGUGAAAUGCGUAGAUAUAUGGAGGAACACCAGUGGCGAAGGCGACGAUCUGGGCUGCAACUGACGCUCAGUCCCGAAAGCGUGGGGAGCAAAUAGGAUUAGAUACCCCGGUAGUC